UGAUGGAGGCAUAGGUAAACCUGGGC
rnacentral:piRNA from 1 species